rnacentral:lncRNA from 1 species
AAAAACUUAUGAAGACCUAAGAUGGCAGCAUUCAUACUGAGGGAAGUUACUGCCAGCAUACCAGGUGGGGAAAGCAGUCGAUGAAUGUUCUGAGGAACGUACAGAAACUCACAAACUUUUGUUUUGC